rnacentral:rRNA from 1 species
UACGUAGGUGGCAAGCGUUGUCCGGAAUUAUUGGGCGUAAAGCGCGCGCAGGCGGUCCUUUAAGUCUGAUGUGAAAGCCCACGGCUCAACCGUGGAGGGUCAUUGGAAACUGGGGGACUUGAGUGCAGGAGAGGAGAGUGGAAUUCCACGUGUAGCGGUGAAAUGCGUAGAGAUGUGGAGGAACACCAGUGGCGAAGGCGACUCUCUGGACGGCAACUGACGCUGAGGCACGAAAGCGUGGGGAGC